GUGCGAAGCCCACCUCAAGAUGAGAUUUCCCAUGAUUUUAUAUCAGUAAGAGCCCUGAGAGAUGAUCAGGUAGAUAGGUUAGGAGUGUAAUUGUGGUGACACAUUUAGCGGACUAAUACUAAUAGCUCGAGGACUUAUCCAAAA
rnacentral:rRNA from 1 species